rnacentral:rRNA from 2 species
CGCCUGGGGAGUACGGCCGCAAGGUUAAAACUCAAAUGAAUUGACGGGGGCCCGCACAAGCGGUGGAGCAUGUGGUUUAAUUCGAUGCAACGCGAAGAACCUUACCUGGUCUUGACAUCCACGGAAGAAUUCAGAGAUGGAUUUGUGCCUUCGGGAACCGUGAGACAGGUGCUGCAUGGCUGUCGUCAGCUCGUGUUGUGAAAUGUUGGGUUAAGUCCCGCAACGAGCGCAACCCUUAUCCUUUGUUGCCAGCGGUCCGGCCGGGAACUC